AAAACGAUCAAUUAUAUUUUGCAAAUAUUUUGUAGAUUACAGCUAUAAAUUGCAUUCUCUUAGUGUGACGAUAACUUAUUAUUAUUAUCUAUGGUUGCAGAUUAUUGCAGUUGCUGGUUGAAGAAAUGUAAUUCGAUUAUUGUUAACAAGGUAUACUUAUGGGAAUGAAGAAAUAUGUGAGAGAUAUAUUAGAAACCACUAUGAAAAGGAAAAAAUUUUUAGAAGAAACUUCGAAUACUUAUUGGAUCGAAUGCAUCUAGAAGAAACCACCAUAAGCGGAAGGUUUUCAUGAAAAUGAAAGGUAAUUAAAAAUAUAUUGCACACAUUUGUGUUUUAUUUUUUAAAUAAAUUCAUAACAAAAUGAUGAAUCCUUUCGGGA